rnacentral:lncRNA from 1 species
UUAAUUAUAUAAACGGAAUAUAUAUACAUAUAUUUAAUACUUCAUUAAUAAUAUACAAAGGAAAACAAAUAUAAACAUGUGACCAAGAAACCGUGACUCGAUUUACUUUUCAAGCAAAAACACCAAAUGAUCAAUUUUUACAUAACAACAAAACUGAAGACAACAGUUCUCAUUAACAACAAUUCAACGAUCAUUUGGUUCAAAAUUACGGUAAAAGUAAAUUUAAUAAUAAACUCCAGUCCCUGUUUUUUUCUUCACUGAAACCCAUUCAAAAUCUUUCCCUCUUUCUUCUUCUUCUUCUUCUUCUUCUUCUGUUUUAUGGUAGAAGAUUUCCGCUUCUUCAUCAUUUUCACUGCAGCGGCUUCCAGUUGCUGAAGUCAUCAUUAUCUUCAACAAGUUUCUGACAUUGGCGCCAAGAUUCUCUGCUUAGAUUUUCUAACUUAACAUGUUCCAGCAACCUUCUUCUUUCUCCCCUCUUCCACGCGAAAGCAUACCAUUUAUUAUCAUCCCCAACUGCCUCGAGCUCGCUCUAGAAGGCAUCGUCAUCUUCACAUGUUUCUGACACUGCCAUCACCUCCAAGCUGAGAUUCCUUUUGUGUUCCCACGACAAGCUUUUAUCCUCCUCCUCUUGCUCUCCCCCCCUCUCUCUCUCUCUCUCAUCUUUCUCCUUUGGAGCGCCAAACAUCUAGCCAAUCAUUCUUCCUCUUAGCUGCCUCCAUCAAAACAUACAAAACCCAGAAGAAGAACCUAUACAAGAGAAAAAAUGAAAGAAGAAAAAAACGAAAUUAAAAUAACAUUCACCCCUCUGUUUCGUCGAGCUUGAGGAGGAAGAAGGAAAUGAGAAAAUUCUUCCCAGAACAACGGCGUUCCAGGGAGGUGGUUAAAGGGACCCCAAUUUUAUCUUUUAUCUUUUAUUUUUUUUCGCUUUAUCCCAUCUUUUCAUUUUUUUCUUCAUUCAUACCCCUGCCUUUUCUUUUCGUAGAUUU